UCCUUCCCCAGCCUCUUCUGGGCCUAUUUAAGGAGGCUUUGGGGUGGCGGGCAAUGUUUUUUUUUUUUUUCAUGAUGGCUGCCCCCAAGGGUCUUCUGCUGGUUGCUCUAGUCUUGCUACUUGCUGUGCACCUGGUAAGGCCGCUCCGGGAUAACCACCACCCCAGGCCUGGGCUGCAGGUCUUGGCAUCCUGAAGAUACAAGCAAGAGGAGACUUCUUUCCUCAUAGCCUGUGCUUUGGGGAGGAUGCACAAGUGGCAGGUCCGAUGACAGGUGCUCCAACACCUUGUCCCCGGCCCCCCCUUACCAAACAAACAUAAUAAAGCAAAUAGACAACUGUCCUGGUAAACCAGGCUCCAAAGAGUUAAAGAAACCAAAGACUAAAUUCUUGGACUUACAGAAUAGCAGAUAAGAAAAGAAAGAACUUGCUGAAAAGCUGAAACUAAGACUGUGCCCCGAAGAGUAAGAAACCAGUAACAGAAAUUCUUGAGUUUGCAGGAUAGCAGAUAAGAAAAGAAACAGCUUGCCGAAACACGGACACUCCCUGCACUUACGAGAUCAAGAAAAAAACUGGCUGAUGGCCGGGCCCGGUGCCUCAAGCCUGUAACCCCAGCACUUUGGGAGGCCAAGGUUCUCACUCUGUCACCCAGGCUAAAGUGCAGUGGUGUGAUCUUGGCUCACUGCAGCCUCAACCUUCUGUGCUCAAGUGAUUCUCCCACUUCAGCCUCCUGAGUAGCUGGGACAACAGGAUGUACAGAAAGCAUGGUGCCGGCAUCUGCUCAGCUUCUGGUGAGGGCUUCAGGAAGCGUUUACUCAUAGCAGAAGAGGAAGGGGAGCCAGCGUG
rnacentral:lncRNA from 1 species